GACGAACGUUGGCGGCGUGCUUAAUACAUGCAAGUCAACUGAAGCAGUGGUAGCAAUAUCGCUGUGGAGGUGGCGCACGGGUGAGUAACACGUAGGUAAUCUGCCUUCAGGUCUGGCAUAACUCCGGGAAACCGGGGCUAAUAGCAGAUGAUGCAGCGGCUCGACAUCGAGACAGUUGUCAAAGCUAUGGCGCCUGAAGAUGAGCCUGCGUCUGAUUAGCUAGUUGGCGGGGUAACGGCCCACCAAGGCAACGAUCAGUAGCUGGUCUGAGAGGAUGAUCAGCCACACUGGAACUGAGACACGGUCCAGACUCCUACGGGAGGCAGCAGUAAGGAAUAUUGCUCAAUGGGAGAAAUCCUGAAGCAGCAACGCCGCGUGAGGGACGAAGGGCUUUGGCUUGUAAACCUCUGUAGUGAGAGAAAAAAAUCCCAAUCUUUGGGACAUGAUGGUAGCUCAAAAGUAAGCCCCGGCUAACUACGUG
rnacentral:rRNA from 1 species